AAUAAGCGCAGUUUUGCACUAUUCAUCUUUAACAUUUGACCGUUCGUCUUUUGUGAAAAAAUUUUAUGAUUAAUAUUUAUAUUGUUAUUAUAUGAUAAAAUAUGAAUAAUACUUUAUAUGUGACUAUUUUUUAAAAAAAAAAUUCAUAAACUUUUUAAAUAAGACGAACGGUCAAACGUUGGACACGGAUUUCCACGGCUACACUUAUU
rfam:Oryza glumipatula chromosome 2, whole genome shotgun sequence.